UUUAUUUCUUUUUCUCUGCAAAAUGGUGAGAGGGCUCAACCGUUUCCCAAACCAUGUAUCCUGUAUUUUGUUUGUUAAAUAAGUAUUAAACGAUCCAUUAAAAAGAUGAUUUACGUUGUAAUGCUAACCGUUUUAUAUUUCAAACGUGUAAUAAUGGUAUUUUGGUAUUCUAUUGGUUCCUAUGGAAGUUACAACAUUACUGGUGGACCAAGGUGAGAUAACAGGUGCAAAAAUUGCGCGCGCACUUAUGGUGAGCGGCAUGGUGUUAUGUUCUAUGGAAUCGCUACAUCGUAUGCAAUAAACUAAAUGAAAAAAUAGCAUUGCAAUAGAAUAGUUGGCAAGCUUCCAAGUUAAAUUGCAAGAUCGCCGGCUGGUAUUGAAUGUAUCGUAAAUACACAGCAAUUAAUUGCAUUCGACACUCGAUUUGCAUACGACAAAGCUUGUAAAAGGAAAAGAAUUUUAAGGUUCUUUUCUCCCGGUUCGACCCUGGCUGGAAGGAUGCGCGUAAAGCAUCAUCUUUGGUGAUCGCCUCCCAGAAGCUGAGCGGGAAAGAUAUUUUAUAAAGCACGCCUGCACACAUCGGCGUUACGCGAUUCGAAUGUGAAUUGCUCAUUAAUACUUCU